rnacentral:misc_RNA from 1 species
GCUACCCACAUACCAUGAUGAC